UUCUUGAAAAAAUAUGACCGGUGGAUCCGUAAAACAAGAAAUAAAAUUGGUCUGGUCUAAUCAUUUCAGCAAUAUAAUCAUUGGCAAUACAGAUAUAUUUUCCUUAUUUUACUUCUUACAGCAGUGAAAAAUGUUAUAAUUGUUGAAACAGGUUAAGAGCAUAUAUGGGUCAUACUUAAAGGGAGGUAACUGUUGCAUGUUUUUUUUCAGAUUGCCUCCCCCUUCCCCAGCACAAACUCAUAGUUGCAUCUUGGCUAUACAAACUUAACCAGUUCAAGUGAGAUCUGAGAGAAGAGGAAUGACUGACAUGAUGAACUGACAGAGGAAAAUGGUGACUUACAGUUUGAGUGAAAAUGUUGACUGAAUACUGCUUGAAGGAAGUAUGUGCAUAUGUCUUCCUGUUUGGGGCUGACUUUAAUCUGUCUUUAUGUUAUUGACAACCUUGCUGUCAGAACAUUAGAUGACUUAAUAAAGAGAAUGUUAGCAAAGAUA
rnacentral:lncRNA from 1 species